rnacentral:tRNA from 1 species
UCCCUGAUGGCUCAGUGGUAUAGAAUCUGCUUGUAAUGCAGGAGACACAGGUUCAACCCCUGGGUCGGGAA